GCAUGAUGGCUUAGUGGUAGAGCAGAGGUCUCGUAACUGGAAGGUCCUGGGUUCAAAACCCAGUCGAUGCA
rnacentral:tRNA from 1 species